CAGUGUAGUGCCAAAUGUCUUCAUGAGAUCUAACUAUAUACAUUAUUGGAGGAGGUGCACUAAAAGAACAACAUAAUGUUACCUAAAAAGUAAACAAACAUCAACAAAUAAUAAACAAGCAAAUGAAAAAAAGAAGCAAAAACUCAAGGUGGCAAUGACAGAGUUUUCCAAGGCGUGACAGUCAGCAGACUUACAUUCAGUGUCUAAUCAUUGGCUAAUUAAGUUCUUUUUCUAGUUCUUCUGUUAGGCGAGUUUAUUUCAAGUAUUUUGAAUAAGAGAACACUCAGAUUCUCCUUUUGGUGUAAAAUAUUUUGCUGUGAGUGGUAUCGAGCUGUUGUUUUUGUUAUGGCACAGAAUGGAGUCCCUUGCACAGUUUCUACGGCCCUUGAGUGACUUCCAGUUGAAUGAGAUAAAAUAUUUCUGCUAAAUAUGUUUUGGUAUUUUCUUUUAACACUUAGAGCUCUUAGAGCUAUUUGACUCUAUACUUAGAAUGAAGAUUGGGACCUUGUUGUACUAAGUGUAAUACCUUAUCUCUAAAUAUUUAAAUAAGCUAAGAAGAAUGUGCUAAUUACAGGACUAAAUUUCAAGGUGUCAUUUAACUCUCAGUUCAUUUUGAUUCUAAUGCAUUUUAAUCAGUUGUAGAAAGAAAAAUUAACCCAUUCUGAGAUUCAUUUUUUAAAAGGAAAAGUUAUUUUUUACGGGUCUUUGAAAGGUUUUGAUUAAUAGGUGGUAAUACUUUAGGCCAUGCAUUCUCAAAAAAUCUUUCUUAAAAUUUUGCUGUUUGCCUUAAUAUGGGAAAACGUCUGAUAAAAAAAAAUCUGUUAUAAUAAUGCACAAAAGCUAAAAUCCUGUUAUAGCUUAAUUCAAGUGCAGCCUCCCAUGUGUUUAUCCAAGCCCACCAUGGAUAUUCAGCUCUAACUCCAAUCUGUGAAUUUAAAACACAUAGGAAAAGAGUAGACAAAAACAUCACUAGCAUACAGAGAACAACAGCAUCAAAAACAGGUACAGUAGCAGAAACUGAAUAAUGAUAUUUGUUUUGUGUACAUACUCUAUAAUGCUUCAGCAUUCAGUGUUGGUUCUGCAUCCAAGCACUGCUGCCAGCUAAGGUAGCCUGUGGGUGACACAUGCACACAGGAAAGAACAUAAAGUUAUAAAAACAUGUAGAACAUAUGUAAAUCACGAAGGCUCAAAAUGGUAGUUCUCUUUCUGCUUAAAUCUUCUUUCGGAAGGCGAGAUCCAACUCUUGAGUGGAAUGGUACAAUUUGCUUCCUUCACGCCUCACUGGAGGUGCUGUCUUCCUCCCUUCACAAAACUUUCUGCAAGGCAGAAUGCAGAAAUCAGCUAUGCAGUGUUCUUGGACCAUGUGACACACUUUAUUCAGGACACACUUUAGGCUCACACAGACAGUGCUGUAAUUCUCAUCAGCAGGAAUGGGAAAGAAAGAAGAGCUGUAUGACUCAGCAUGAAAUGCUGUAGGGAUACCAUCCAUGAUCAGCACUACAUGCUCCAGCAAAGGCAAGUGUUCUUACAGAAAAAAAGAAUUCUAGUCCAAUAUCUUGUUUAAUCUUAUUUACCUCAUCUUUUCACAAACCCCUGGCUCAUAUUCCUCCAGGGACCCUUCCAAAUUUCUUGACCCUUUUAUUUUAGAUCACUUCAUCUCAAUGGAUAAAUGUAUAUUCGCAUUUCUCAAAUCCAUCAUGCAGAUUUCUUCUGUUUCACUGCCUCUUUAUUAUCUGGCGAGUUUCCUGCCAGCCCAGAAGUCUUGUUCUCUCUUUACUUGUAAGGCUGAAUGUCUGAGACAGUCCUGUCUGGACCUCCGGCAACAACAGAUGUAGCACUGCAGACUGCAAGAUACAGAUGCACCCUGAAUCCAGCUGUAAUGUGUUGUGACUCAGCAGUUCAAGAGGGUACCAGAUCUCUUCCAGUCGCAUCAGCCCCAGAAGACAUAGCUUAGGGCAAACAUGCCCUCAAGGCAAUUUGUGAAGGUACUUGAUACUGUUUCUCACAGUAUCCUGGGCAUUUUGGGAAAUGACACAGGGGAUGAAACCAGUUUUCCCCACAUACCAUGGAUCAUUCCUGGAAGUGGCAUGCAUUUGAAGCAAGAGAAGACUCCUAUGGAAACUGGUGCAGAAGUGAGGAUGAAUGCUCAACAGAAAGGAAAACUGAGAAUAUAUGUAGCCUAGUACAAGAUUCAUGUGGAACACACUGGAGAUCCUAGAGAUAGCAGUGCAUUAUUCACUUUACAUUUUCCAGUUAGCAGAGAGAUGGUGGGUGAUGUGUUUCAGCAGUGGUGACAGCAACAGUGGGUGCCUCCACUGGUGCAGAUUUUUACAAGCAAACAGUGCAGGCUCUUGUUCAUUGCUGGUGUAAAUACAUAGCUCGUGGUGGUGACUGUGUUGAAAACUAGCAUUUUGUAGCUGAGAAUUUGCCCUAUCGAAUAGUGUUAUUGUAUCUGUUCUAGUUUCCAUGGAAAUAAAUAGGAGGCAUCACUUUUAGAGUGACCUAUGUAAUUUUGCUGAAAGAGAAAAUAUUGCAAAGAGGAAAGGUGAAGGUGUGUCUUGGGGUCAAGUGUAUUAUUUUCACAAAGGCACAUGGCAUUAAAAAACAAACAAACAAACAAAAAACAUUGAUGAAAGCUAUUGAUAUGUCACUAUGGAGACACUGCAAAGAAAAAUAAAAAAUUAAAAGGAAAAAAAAAAACUCAACAGAAAAUUGAAUUAGACUGUAGUAAUACCAAUGUGAUGAAAGUAACACCGUGAUGUUUGAAAGUGUGCAUCAUCACCACAAACUUAAUUUUUAGGUACCCAUGUAGCACAGGGAGGGAUGAAAGUUUUUAAAUUUCUUCCCAAUAAAUUCAGCAUGCCAGUGGAAAUUUAAGAGGGAAAACCUUUCUUUACUAAGAAAGAUAUGCAAAGCAUCAAUGAACCAUGCAUCAGCUCACACUGUUAUCCAACUUGUAUGAAAAAGAAGGACCUAGAGAUGUUGGAAGGUGAUAGCAAGCUAACCGUAGACCAACAGUGGGCCGUAGAGCAAAGAUGACCAACAGAAUCCUAAGUGGCAUUUGGAAAAACACUGCCAGCAGGUUAAGGGAGGUGACCUUUCUUUGCUCAGCACUGGUAACAGACAAUUGGAAUUCCACAUCCAGUGCAGCGAACUGAGAAUUUUCUUACACGUUGUCUUGUAUAACGAAGUAGAGGUGGCAAAAAAUCAAACUUCAAACACCUGAUUAUCUUUCAGCAAAGCAAGAGGAGUCUAUGAAAUGGAUUACAUAACAUAGCAGUUGUGUCAUCAUGGAAAUAAUCAUAGUAAGCCAGGAAUGCUCUCAACAUUAAGUUUCUAUUUGUCGCAAUGAAAGGGGGAAAAAAAAAAAAAAAAAAAAA